AUUAUCUUUGUGCCAAAUGAAAAGAGAAAGAAAAUAAGAAAACCAAGCUAGGUAUUCGGCCCUUGCUCAAGCAAAUUAAGAUCAAGAACAGAAGAAAACGGAAUUAGAUCGGGGAAAGUCGAAAGUAGUUGACUAUGUCUGUCGAUAUCCGAGAGUUCUAAAGACUUGCUCGGGUUGGAAGACGUUGGAGUCGUGAUCACCCUAUCCGGUUAUGGCUUCGGUAAAUUAAAGCUUUGAGUUUUUGGUUAUGUGGCAUGUAUUGGCUAGUUUUAAUUUAGUUUUGUAUAUAUAUUUAGCCAUGCGAAAAUGGCUUGAUCUAAUGCUAAUGAUCCAAGGUUUAAGUAAUUUUGGUCAUAGUAAAG